GACGACCUGCCUUCACUGAAGUAGCAUCCCGUCUUCGUGCCAUCCUAGAAGCAAGCUAGAACGAAUCUCUAUAAAUGAAUUUGCAUGAAUAACCACUCCCCAUCCAUCAGAACACUUUACCUGUCAAAGCAUGAUGUAGCCAUGAGCUGAAAAUGGUACCAAGUACCAGUAUGAAAAUUGAAAAGCAUUAAACUCCAGACAGUCUCCCCAAAGUUAACUAUGGGAAGCUUAUUCUGACUUGGCAUACCAUGUAAAUUUAAGAUCUAAAUGCAGCUGUGCUGUUACUGAACAUGUAGAUGAAAAGGGAAGUAGAAGUUCCAUCAACCUUUGGACAUUCUUUAUUUAAUCUGUAAAUUUAAUCGUUAUUAGUCUGAGGGCUGAGGCUAUCCAGAGUCCAUCUCCUAAUUGUUUCAAGUGCACAAGUGUUGAGCAGCUGAAGCCCGAGAUCGAAUGUAUUAAGUCUGUCUUGCAGUUGACUGAAGUUGGGCACUAGCUCCAAUAGUUGGAAGCUAGUCAAGGUGGUGGUACAAGAUCCGCUGAUCUUCGUCUAUCUAGGAACGGAUUAUGCCAAGGCAGAAGAAUGGAAGGAGUACGUCGAGGAAUGACGCCGGCCGUUGUUACUCACUUGGUGUCGGUCGUCCAUGCGCCUUGCCAUAGACAGACGGAGGCGAAGGUUGAUGAAGGCUGGGUGGGGGCAUUGGAGCCCGGCAUUCCAUCGAACAAGUUGAGGGCGUGGGCGUGGAAAAUUAAGGCGAGCGCACAACACAAGGACGUGGUGGGAAGCCGCGACAUGGUCGGCAGGCACUGCGCACAGCAUGUCGCUGAGGCUGAGUGGAAGAGUGGGGGGCUGCCGGUGACAAUGCUCCCCGCCUGAAUAUGCGCGCGUGUCUCGAUUUGGACGGCGGUAACAAGCUGGUGGCGCCGACGGUGGGG
rnacentral:lncRNA from 1 species